GAGAGGAAUCUGGAGUGGUCAGUCAGUAAAACGAUUGAUUGCAAAAGAUCUCCUCAUCGCUGAAGAUACCAAACUCAUCAGCGUCAGAGCAGUAAAUGGCGAAGUGACGCCUUUUAAAUAUUUCAUGUAUUGUGCUGGGUAUACUCGAAGCUAGAUGUACUAACCUCUAGUUUCUCUAUACUUUUGCCUGCUACCUUGGCAUUACAUCUAAAAAGGUACAAACAUCGCAUUGUCAAAAAGAGGUGGUUUUAGUACGUAGGCGCUGUGGGACUUCAUUGUCCCGAUGAUGCAGCGAAUCGUGCAUACGAGAUUCUCAAGUAGUUGGUUGCUCGUAUCUUUAGAAAAUUUCCUUCCUCGGCGAUCAAAAAAAAAAAAAAAAAAAAAUAGCCAAAUGCCUCGUCAUCAAAUUAGUGACGCGCAUGAAUGGAUUAACGAGAUUCCUACUGUCCCUAUCUACUAUCUAGCGAAACCACAGCCAAGGGAACGGGCUUGGAAUAAUUAGCGGGGAAAGAAGACCCUUUUGAGCUUGACUCUAAUCUGGCAGUGUAAGGAGACAUAAGAGGUGUAGAAUAAGUGGGAGAUAUUAUUCCUUGUGUUUGAUAUCGCCAAUGAAAUACCACUACUCUUAUUGUUUCCUUACUUACUUGAUUAAAUGGAACGCGUAUCAUUUCCUAGCCAUUAUACGGAUAUAUUUAUUAUAUCUUAUGGUAUUGGGUUU
rnacentral:ncRNA from 1 species